GUGCUCAGUACUAGUACAGGGAAAUUAAUUAAAUUGAUUGAUUGUUGUUUGCUUUACGUCCAGUAGCAAAUAUUUCAUGAAUGUUUUAAAAUGACUAUAACACAUAAAUUUUAGAUACAAUAGGUAGGUCGUGCAAUAGGAGAUCGACAGUGAGGUUGGACGUGAAACUUUAAAACACCACUGGAAAAUGAGGAUAUAUUUAAUAAGGACAGAAAUUUAGACUUACAACAGCUGGCCACAUUCGGAUCACUCAUAUAAUAGGCGCAAGACUUUUAAUCUGCCGAGAGCGUUAAUCCAUAAAAUCUAACCUGAAGUCGACCAUCGAUGGUUACGUGUAGUUUGCAAUAUCAUUUCACGCAUGCAAUUUAGGUUCGGUACUUUUAGCUCGCUUAAGUAACUGUGAGAAUUCUGUGAAACUGUAUUGUGUAUUGUACUUCCGUUUUUGGUAUAAAAUUUGUACUACCAAAAAACUACUGCUCUCCUGGUUGGUCUAGUGUGGGGGUGUUCGCCUCGAGAGGGGAGGUCAUUUGUUAAAAUUCCUAAUGGGUCAAACAAACACGUUAAUUAAUUUGACCUCGAGUAACACAUGUGCUGACCAUGUACAAAAAAAAAAAUGAAUGUCAACAUUGAAAAGUGAACCAAGGGCGCCAAUAUGAAAUUCCUCUUUUUUAAUUGCUAAAAUGCGAAAUUUCUUUGGUGUACAGUUUAAACGAUGAUUAUAUACUUUAUAAAAUGAUAACAUGAAAUUAAACAGACCUAGAAACUCGUCUUUACAUAAGUGAACGUGGUUUGUCAAUUUAUCCUAUCAAUGUUUAUAUAAAAAAGAAGAAAACGAGAAACCAACGGCCUUAUUCAUAUAUAUAAAGAAGAAUGAACGUUGACUCCAUACAUUUUGAUUUAUUUGUGUCUUGGGGUUGCUGUCGAAUUAUUAUAUACCCUUAGCUCAUUUUAUUCAAAACCAAAUGAUUCACAUGGGUAUGGAAACUUCGAAAUAUCUAGGCCUCUCCCGUCCCUCAGUAUACCCUUGCUAAAUUGGUAAGUUCUUUUGGCUUAUUUGAUAUAUAAAUACCGUUUGAAUAUUGAUCGGAGAUAUUUAAGCAACCAAAAGCACUUUAAAUAAAAAUAUAAGUAAAUUAUAGUAUUUUGCUGGGUGUUUUUCCCGAUCCUAUUUCGAACCCCCUGAUAUUAAGAGGGUGUAUCUAAUUAGACAUGCAUUAGGUAAAAUAAGUAGACAAAAGAAAUCCUUUGUGAAAUGAGAUCGUCCCAGGUAUCUUAGAUAAUUAUUUUGCGUUGAAUAACAAUGAAAAAUGCACGAGCAGGUUUGUAAGACAUAGUAACUUGAUGCGUUUAAAAAACAGCUUCAAGUAGUCGAACCUUAUUAAUAUUUGAUAUCAAUUUAGGGAAUCCAGAGCGCUUUUCAAAAUUAAUAGAAAAAUAUGCAAACGUUAAUUUAAUUUUACAAAGGAGGGUAUAUUUAUUAGAAUAAUUU
rnacentral:lncRNA from 1 species